GAUGAACGCUGACAGAAUGCUUAACACAUGCAAGUCUUUGGCGAAGCUGUGCUUGCACAGCCUAGCCAAGGCGGACGGGUGAGUAACGCGUAAGGAACUUGCCCUGCAGUCAGGGAUAACAGACGGAAACGACUGAUAAGACCUGGUAAAGUCAGGCGGACUCAUGUCCAGCCUGAUGAAAAGAGAUGCUGCAGGAGAGCCUUGCGUCCUAUUAGCUUGUUGGUGGGGUAACGGCCCACCAAGGCGAUGAUAGGUAGCCGGCCUGAGAGGGUGGACGGCCACAAGGGGACUGAGAUACGGCCCUUACUCCUACGGGAGGCAACAGUGGGGAAUAUUGGACAAUGGGGGCAACCCUGAUCCAGCAAUUCUGUGUGCACGAUGAAGGUUAUCGGAUUGUAAAGUGCUUUCAGCAGGGAAGAAAAAAAUGACGGUACCUGCAGAAGAAGCGACGGCUAAAUACGUG
rnacentral:rRNA from 1 species